UUAGGAUAGAAAACAAAAACUGUAUCAAGAAAUUAGCUCAACAUUGGAAAAAUUGCUCGUUUGUAGUAGUAAAAAAAACAACAGAAAGAAGCACGAGAGUUUCGCAAGAAUUGCCUGCUUUUUCUUGAAUAAGUCUGCUUUUAGGUAAUAAUGUUUCAUUGAACACCAUAUCCCAGAAAGCAUUGCGCCAAGGCAAAGCAGGAAGAUAUUUUUUCGUCUGCAACUUCGGGAAGUUAGCCAGCAGGGUUGUGUUGUUCAGGCCCUGGGGAGAGUGGUGUGUGUCAGAGUGUGUGUUACAGAAACACCAGCAGUGAGUGUAUGUCUGUCUGUAAUCUGCUUCCGCCGGCUGUUUGUGGCAUCGGCUGUGAAGUGAACAGGAAGACAGAGGGCUGAAGAGAGAGAAAAAGAAAGAAAGAGAAGAGAGAGGAAGCUGCCGUCAGCAUGACUGAGUUCUGGGUGUGUUUCAGCUGCUGCAUUGGAGAGCAGCCUCAGCCUAAGAGGCGACGGAGGAUAGACCGUUCAAUGAUCGGAGAACCAACCAACUUUGUUCACACAACACACGUAGGCUCAGGAGACAUGGGCAUUGGGCUCUCAUCAGUGAACUCUGUUCAAGCCCAGAUGAAAUCUAAAGGAGGUUAUCAAGGAGGGUCUGAGAGCAAUCAGGAAUAAUGAGACAGAUAAGAAGCCUGUGCUAACUACUGCUGUAGAUCUGAAGAGGAGACAUUGUAAAGACACUUAUCUGAACCAGACAAAGGACCAAAUGAUGAAACCACCCAGGAACGUGUACAUAAUUCAUUUAUAUUAAAUCACUGCUAUCUGUCUGUCUGCCAUGCUGUUGCACUGUAAGAGUAGAAAACGGAUCACAAUUGUGUGUGUGUGCGCCUGUGUGAACAAAUGUUUUACUCAAAUGUUCAGGAGUGUGUGGUCGUGUUUUUAGGCCUUGCCUGUAUUUAUAGUCGGAUUUGUGGAAAAAUUACCUUUCAUGUGGUGGCUGGGCCACUGUGGAGAUAUGAGGCACAUGAUUAGUAGUAUCUGCUUCAUUAUCAAAUCAUAAACUACAAACUUUAAACUACAGACUUGAAAUGUCUAUCUGUUUGUGUCCCAAAUGGAACCCUAGUCCUCAUAUAGUGUGCUACUUUUGACCAGAGACACAUGGGCCCUGGUCAAAAUUAAUGCACUAUAUAGGGCAUAUGUUGAAAUUGGGAACAGAGACCAUUUUAACCGCUUUAUUCUGUUAAACAUCCCAUGUUCUUUGAGUUGCCUUCAGGAGUAAGUAAAGAAUGCUGUUUUCCAAUGAACUUGAAAUGUGUAGGUAGGGCACACUGGACCAUUUUGUUUCUUGUACACACUUGUUCAGAAGCUUUAAAGCUUUUGUAUUGAUUUCAGCCAAUGUGUUUUUAUACAUGUAGUAUUUUUCUCAUUCAUUAGCUAGAAUCUUAAUAAAAAAAAAUUCUAUGCCA